GAUGAACGCUAGCGGCAGGCUUAACACAUGCAAGUCGAGGGGCAGCGUAGAUUGCUUGCAAUCUGACGGCGACCGGCGAACGGGUGCGUAACGCGUAUAGAAUCUGCCUUGUACAGGAGGAUAGCCUUUAGAAAUGAAGAUUAAUACUCCAUAAUGCUGAGAGAUGGCAUCAUUUUUUAGUUAAAGAUUUAUCGGUACAAGAUGACUAUGCGUCCUAUUAGCUAGAUGGUAAGGUAACGGCUUACCAUGGCAACGAUAGGUAGGGGGUCUGAGAGGAUUAUCCCCCACACUGGUACUGAGACACGGACCAGACUCCUACGGGAGGCAGCAGUGAGGAAUAUUGGUCAAUGGGCGCAAGCCUGAACCAGCCAUGCCGCGUGCAGGAUGACUGCCCUAUGGGUU
rnacentral:rRNA from 1 species